CAAGAUUAAUGAAACUUUUCCACCUCCAACUCUGUUUUUAAAGGAGUGAUAUUCACCCCUGGUUGGGAACUACUUCUGCAGAAAUGAAGCCAGUGCCUGAGCAGUUGUUCCCAGGACAAAGAAGAAUCACAGUUGUCGGAACGCUGAAUCCCCUACAGCAAGCAUAUCUAGGUUUACAAGACUUGUUUCAAAGUAUCUUCCUUGCAUAUGCAUGAGGAUGAUGGUAUUCAUAUCAACACACAAAGUGUCUAAAACAGUGAGGACAUACAAAGGUAAGCACACAGACACCUAUGAAUCCUUAUGGCACUGUCCUUGGAGGAGGCCUGUGACUCUCCUGUCUAAAAAUAUCCUUCACAUUUUCCUAUCUCUUCCAAGAAUUUGCAUUAACAGUUCUCAC
rnacentral:lncRNA from 1 species